CAAUUUGCGGCACUUUUACCUGUGUGCAUAUCAAUCGACUCUGAAAUAAGCCUGCUUGAUUCUUCUCUUUUGGAUCAUCUCGAUCAAAUCGGUAGGUCUGCUUCAUUCUUCUUAUCCCUCUUAACAGUUAAUUGUACAAGAAAAACAAAAACACUAACCCUCUUUUUAACUUAUCAAACUUUUUCAGACAUAUCGGAUUUGGAAAACUAUGUUUUUUCGAGUUCACCUAGUUCUUCGCCUAGUUCCUCACCCCCGGUUUUAGAGAGAGCUACAGGCAAGAACAUUCGUCUCUCGACCCGUGAGAGAGAGGCUUUGCUUUCUGCAAGGGUUUGCCCCGCGUCAGCUCCCCAGCGUGCCUCGGGCAAAAACCUGAAUUUAACCGCCCGGGAGAGGGAACAGCUGAUCGCUGCGCACGCUCACAGUCCCGGCUUCGGAGCUCCAGCUCCCCAGCGUGCCUCGGGCAAAAACCUGUAUCUGUCUGCCCGGGAGAGGGAACACGCUCACAGUCCCGGCUUCGGAGCUCCAGCUCCCCAGCGUGCCUCGGGCAAAAACCUGAUUCUGUCCGCCCGGGAGAGGGAACACGCUCACAGUCCCGGCUUCGGAGCUCCAGCUCCCCAGCGUGCCUCGGGCAAAAACCUGAAUCUGUCUGCCCGGGAAAGGGAACAGCUGAUCGCUGCGCACGCUCACAGUCCCGGCUUCGGAGCUUCUCCUCCUGUAUCGGGGCCAAGACAUUCACAGCCCCUGCCUCGGAGAUCCAGUCUAGGUCAGUCACUCUCGCUUUUUCUUUUUCUCUCAUUUUAUAAAAAACUAUCGCCUUUUCUAUUAAACAUCACUAACUGAUAUGUAACUUACCCUUAAAUUCUUAGGUCAUCUCAGAAACAGGAGUAGGAGGACCGUUAGGAGGACCCGUAGGCCUGCCAGCACAAGGAGGACAAGGCAGAUACGUGUACGGCGAGACAGACUUGUUUCCAUUGCUCUCCGAUCAGUUUCGUUGAUCGCUGAAAUAGUUCAGCUCAUCUUGUAAUAAGGUUUUAUUUAAUUUAAUUGUUUUUUAUUUUUAUUUUAUUUUAUUUUUAAAAUAU
rnacentral:lncRNA from 1 species